AGUGAACGCUGGCGGCGUGCCUAAUACAUGCAAGUCGAACGGAGUGGCGCACGGGUGAGUAAUGUAUAGCUAAUCUGCCCUACACUAGAGGACAACAGUUGGAAACGACUGCUAAUACUCUAUAGUGUAGGAUGAGGCUAUAUUGUAUCAGCUAGUUGGUGAGGUAAUGGCUGACCAAGGCUAUGACGCAUAACUGGUCUGCGAGGAUGAUCAGUAACACUCGAACUGAGACACGGUGCAGGCUCCUACGGGAGGCAGCAGUAGGGAAGAUGGCUGAAUGGGGGAAGCCCGGAAGGAGCAACGGCGCGUGGAGGAUGAAACUUUUCGGAGCGUAAACUCCUGUUGUUAGGGAAGCGGUACCUAACGAAUAAGCACCGGCUAACUCCGUGCCAGCAGCCGCGGUAAUUC
rnacentral:rRNA from 1 species